UACAGAGGGUGCGAGCGUUAAUCGGAUUUACUGGGCGUAAAGCGUGUGUAGGUGGCCGCGUAAGUCGGUUGUGAAAGCCCUGGGCUCAACCCGGGAAUGUCAGUCGAUACUGCGUGGCUAGAGUUCGGUAGAGGACGGCAGAAUUCCCGGUGUAGCGGUGAAAUGCGUAGAGAUCGGGAGGAAUACCGAUGGCGAAAGCAACCGUCUGGGCCUGAACUGACACUGAGACACGAAAGCGUGGGGAGCAAACAGG
rnacentral:rRNA from 1 species